UUUAGUGGCAAAAUAAUUUUA
rnacentral:piRNA from 1 species